ACUUAGACCAUAAAGUGUCUGCCUACAAUGCAGAAGACCCAGGUUCAAUCCCUGG
rnacentral:tRNA from 1 species